rnacentral:lncRNA from 1 species
UCAAAAUUCAUUACGGUAACUCGGAAAAGGCGCAUCUUCUUAUCCCAAAUCAUCUUCAACAACCCCAAAAUCCAUUCUCAAUCCACAAACUCCAUACCAAAAAACGAAAGUAAUUCAUCAGUUACGUAAAGAAAAAACGUUGUGCAAGACGAUCCGUAAGCAUCACCUCGUCGACUCCAGCGAUUCGUAACCGACGCCCCUUCGUCUCCGGCGAUUUGUAUGGAUUUUGCUUCGUCAAACGUUGUCGUCGUUGACGUUCUCACCGAUCGGCACAUCUAUUCGAUUCAGCAACCAUCCAACACCGUCAUCUUUUGGUGAAGUUGUUUUCGUGUUUACAUUUGACGCUUCGAUUCCGGCAUAUGAUUACACCCAUGGCUAUAUGCAAGUUAUACAAAUUCUUCUAUGGAGUUCCAUGGCUGUGA